AGAAGGCAACCAUUCAGUAUUCAGGCACUCAAGAGCGCGUAAAUCGACAAAAUGAUAAAGAUAAAUUUGUAUUUAUUGAUGGUCCCCAUGCUGCUGAUAUUGAACGUCUUUGCUGCGAUUAAGAAGAACAAAACAAAGGAUCAAUGCUCAGCAAGCUGUUGUGUUCCAGGUAUACCAGGGGUUCCUGGCAUCCCUGGAGCACCUGAAAGAGACGGACUAAAAGGUGACGUGGGAUCUCAAGGAGAAAAGGGUGAUCAUGGUACUUCUGGCGUAUCUCCGACAAAUGAAAUAUUUUUUCAUAACUGGAAGCAAUGUGCAUGAAGAAGGUCUGACGGUAAAGAUUUUGGAUUGAUUCAGAAUUGCUCAUUCAAGAAAAAGUUCGACAACACCUCACUUCAUGUAUUUUAUGGAGGUAACUUGCGUAUUCAACGAUGCUCGGCAUGUUGCAAACGUUGGUAUUUUACAUUCAACGGAGUAGAAUGUAACAACCCUUACGCAAUUGAUGGGGUAUUUUACAUGAAAUCUGGAAGCUCACAAGAUAUCGAUUGACAUCGUCAUAUUGAAGGGUAUUGUAACAAAAUACAUAAAGGAAAUGUACAAAUUGGUUUCUGGGUUGGUAAUUGUCCUGGUUUUGGUAAUGCAGAUGCGCAUAGUGGAUGGAAUUCAGUUUUUCGCAUUGUGAUAAGAGAAGUGCCUCCGCCACAAGAUUGAUUUAUUUAAGUUCAUUAUUAAAAUUUUUGCCAAACAAUAAAUUAAUUCAAUUGUCUACUCUUAUGUCAUAGUUUUUUCUUUAAGAUAUUCAACAUCCUAAAAUUACAUUUCGUAUUGAGAUCGAUAAUCAGAACAUUGCCAUAACAAAACAAGAAGAAGUCGUUAUAAAAAUUUCGAACUUGUUUCGAAAUUUCAAAGGUCAACUGCCUAAACUUAUAAAUGUCUUCAUUUGUCCAUUCAGAUGCAAAUUCAGAUACUUAAUUGUCUACUGCACGGAAUGGAAAUAUCAAU